rnacentral:sRNA from 1 species
ACCUAAACCCGAUAGAACGAAUGCUCGCCGUUUUUUUAACGGCAGCAGCAGAGAUAGCGGGACAGGAU